rnacentral:rRNA from 1 species
UACGUAGGGUGCAAGCGUUGUCCGGAAUUAUUGGGCGUAAAGAGCUCGUAGGCGGUCUGUCGCGUCGAAUGUGAAAACCCGGGGCUCAACCCCGGGCCUGCAUUCGAUACGGGCAGACUAGAGUUCGGUAGGGGAGUCUGGAAUUCCUGGUGGUAGCGGUGGAAUGCGCAGAUAUCAGGAGGAACACCGGUGGCGAAGGCGGGUCUCUGGGCAGUAACUGACGCUGAGGAGCGAAAGCGUGGGGAGCGAACAGG